UUCCUCUUCUUCUUCUCUUCAGUCUCCUGACUGGAAACUCGUCUGCCUGCACAAACGCUGACAGCAAAGUGAUCUCCACAGAAGGGACAGAUGUUAUUUUACCCUGCUCCCCCAGCACCAGAGAAAACCUC